ACGCUGGCGGCGUGCCUAACACAUGCAAGUCGAACGGGGAUUUGUUUCGGCAGAAGUCCUAGUGGCGAACGGGUGAGUAACGCGUAGGCAACCUGCCCUCCGCCGGGGACAACACUCCGAAAGGGGUGCUAAUACCGGAUACGAAGUCUGUGCCGCAUGGUACGGAUUUGAAAGAUGGCCUCUAUUUAUAAGCUAUCGCCGGGGGAUGGGCCUGCGUCCGAUUAGCUGGUUGGUGGGGUAACGGCCUACCAAGGCGACGAUCGGUAGCCGGUCUGAGAGGAUGAACGGCCACAUUGGGACUGAGACACGGCCCAGACUCCUACGGGAGGCAGCAGUGGGGAAUCUUCCGCAAUGGGCGCAAGCCUGACGGAGCAACGCCGCGUUAGAGUGAGGAAGUUCUUCGGAACGUAAAGCUUCUGUUGUUCCUAGACGAACCUCCCCUCUAUCUAACAACGGAGGGGACUGACGGUAGGGAACGAGGAAGCCACGGCUAACUACGUGCCAGCCGCGGC
rnacentral:rRNA from 1 species